rnacentral:sRNA from 1 species
AAGGAGAAGUUAUCAAAUUAGACGGUAACACUGUAAUUACAAAGCAGCAUCCUAAAGAGACAUUUUACAAAUGUUAAUAACAUCUGGGAAGCAGAUGAAGGGAAUAAACACUAUUACAUGCUGCCAAAUUUACUGUAUUUUUAAUGUUGCUAAAAUUCAACUUUUACAUUUUUUCAUACAAAGACUAUAUAAGGUUGUACAGCUGUACUUUACCUAGAACAGUUAUUUACACAUAUAAACGUUCCUCUUCCCAAGAUCAGGAAUCAGUUGUAUUCAGCAUAUGGCUGAAUAAAAUGAUGGCUAAAUGAGGUCAAUCCAGUGACCUCGAGAAUGAUCUAAAAGCAGUUGAGCACAGCUGGGGAGUUUUGCUGACUGGAUCACUUGAAGUAGGCAGACCCACCCUUGGCCUGGGCCACGCCUUCUGGCAGCAGCCUAAGUGAAAGCACAAGAAGAAGGAAGCUGCUUUUGCUGCUCAUCCUCACUCUUGCUGGCAAGUCAAAUGGGAGACCAGCAGCUCUGUAGGAAUACUCCUGAACUCUAGCACCAGACUGGAACUACUGAGGCACCCAGGUUCACUGACUGAAUAACUAAUGGACUCUUGAUCUUCUAAAAGGCUAAUUCUAUCAGUUCUACUCCAUAGAAAACCCAACUAAAACACAGUCCAGUUAAUUAUAUACAGGUUUUAUUAAGUCAAUUUGUGAGUCACUUAAAAAAAACCCUGAAAUUAAGAAUUGCAAAUUUUGGGCUACAGUUUGGGAAAGUGAAACUGCAAGUACUUACAAGAAAAAGACUUAAAAUAUACAUACAUGUUCAACUACACAGCUUAUUGAUACUCAAGAUAAUCACAGCAAACUAAGAAAAUUGGUCAGAUAUAAGAAAUGAAGAUAAUGAUUAUCCUAUCUUUUAAAAUCAUUGAAUACUCUUUUAUAAAGGAUCCAAAGCAAGGUUGAAAACAUCAAAUGUUUAUGCACUCUGCAAGUGGGAAGAAGUCAUGAUGAGCAUCAGAUGGGCAAUGAGGUGGGGAAGGGGAAAGUGAAACGAAAAGCAGAUCUGAAAUGUAAAAUGUCAUAUUUGCUAACACUACUUUUAAGCUAGUGUUUUAUUCCCUGAAAACGUCAAGUUCCCAUCUGUACUGUAAGGAAAAUGACUAUAUCUCAGACACAGGUAUAAAGAUUGUAAGAGAAGUUUAUGUAGAUUAUCUAUAAUAGACCUUAUUUAAAGGGUUCAAUGCUAGAAUAUUGUAUUUUACAAGGUAACCUUCCUGUAUCUACUGUUAAAUUACUGUUGCUGUGAUGGGACUGUCCCCACAAAGACCCAUGUGUCAGGUCAUCAGCCUGUGAAAAUACUACAUGACAUUGGGGAACCUGCCUGUAAAGAGGAUCCCGAGACCCUAGCACCUUCUUGCUUCCCUGUGACCUUGAGGAAGACAGCAUCCUCCACUGCAUGCUCCCAUCACACUGUACUGUGCCACCACAGGCCUUGAUACUUCAGGUUCCGAAACUCUGCAACUGAGCAAAAGCCCUUCCUCCUUUUUCUCAAGUAUUUUAUCACAGUGGCAGAACUACAACGAACACCAUUAACAACAAAGCAGACAGCACAAACAAGACCAUACAAGGUAUGAAAGAAAGAGCCCUCUGGAAGACUUGGUGAGUAUGCAUGGCUGUUAGACUCUAGCACUAAAUAACAGGUAGUAAAACUGAAAACAGGUUGGGACAGAUAAGGAACUUACGACUUAAUCUAAAUGGACAGAUAAUUAAAAGCUUUUCUACAGGGCAGGGAUAUAAUUGUUUUAUUUCUUAGGGAAUAUGUGAGAAUAUAGAAGGCAGAGAAGUAAAUGCAGAGGAUAUAUACAUUACCCCUUUCAUUCACUGACAGGUUGGCUACCCAAGCAUAGGUAUCACUUGAAAAAUAUUAUUUAUGCUGUACAAUGAAUUUUCUUCAGGACAAUAACAAUUUCAAAAAGAAUACAACUUAAAAGAUGGAAAACCCUUUCAGCUUCUUAUAAAAUAGUGGUUCUCAAAUAUGGCUAUCCAUCCUAGUAGCCUGGAAAAUGUCAAAGAAUCCUACUGGAUAGAUUAAAAUCCCAGAAAGUGUGUCCAGGGGUUGUGGCUCUGAUGUACCUAGGCUGUACGUAAUAUUGAUGGUUAAAGCUCUUUGGCUGACUUCAAUAUACAGACAUUACUGUUAUAGUUUCCAACUAAAUAACUAUCAGGGUAUGACAUCAGCCAAGCCUAUUUUAGAGACCAGAAUUAUGUGCUUAAUACCGAAUACAUCUUCUGGUUCAUCAUUAUCCUUAAUGAGGCUGCAAAUUAGGUAUUAAUUAAUGUUUCUGCUACUGGUUUUUAAUAUUCUAAAUAUAUAAAUAUAUUCAUAGUAAUUUUAAAAAAUAUGAAUGUUGACUUUCCCCCAAACAAAAACAAAACCCAGAGCCUAAGAAUAUAGCUGGGUUGGCAGCAAACUUAUCCAUCAUGCACUAAGUCACAAGUUUGAUUCCCAGCCCCCAAAACACCAGGUGUGGUGACAUAUAUCUGUAAUCCAGCAGUUGGGAGGAGGAGACAGAAGAGUCUGGAGUUCAAGGUCAUACUAGGCUGCAAAAUGAGGUAGGAAGACCUGUGGAACAUGAGACCCUGAUUGUAAAAAAUGAACCACAAAGAAACCCAGCCUAUUUACCUGAAGAUUAUCAUUGUUAUCUAACUAUGUAUGUCUAUAAACAUAAAUACACUAAUUUGUCAUAUACUUGCAAAAAGAGUUGUUGAGAUUUUAGCCUGACAUACUACUUCAUAGUCUCAUCUCAAGUUGAAGAAGCAAAUCCUCUCCCACACGCUGCACUUUUCACCAUAUAUUACAAAUUCCUCUGGAAUUUUUCAGGGACAACCUAGAUUUUAUUUUAUUCUUCUGUUUAACAGAAUGCAGAGUAGUAAAUUCAUUCUCUGUAAAGAAUUUGUUUGUUGCCUAUGACUCUAAGCAUUUAACUAUGGUGGCUUGUUGUGCUGCUGUGGGUAGCAUCGCACUAAGAGGCCUACGCUAGCUUAGUGACCCUCCUUUGUCACCUCCAGAGUGCUGAGAAUACAAGUAUGUGUCACUGGCCUGGCUUAGGUACUCUAAUAAGAACUCCAUUCAGCUUACUGUAUAUAUUUAUUUAUACAAAUACAAAAGAUAUGUAGAUUGUAAAGUAUCUCUCUUAAGAAUAUGAAAACUUUCAGUUGUUGUGGCCUUAGAGCCUUUGAUACAAUGUUGCUCAAUUAUAAACAUUUCAUGAGUUGUUUAUUAGACUAAUGACAUAUUUCUUUGAUUUGUAUAAAAACAUUAGCAAAAUGUUUUACAGGAACAAUAAUUUACAUCAAAGACAUAAAAGAAAAACUAAUAAAGCUAUUGUAUCUUGGAGGUACUUUAAAUAGUUACUAGAUAACUUUAAAAAAUCAAUACUCUAAAUGUGCAUUAAAUAUUACUGUUACUCAGGCUGAAAGGCAUAAUGGCAUCGAAAACCUUUUUUGUGGCUUUGUUAUUUUCAGUGCUGUUUCAUUUUUAAAGUUUGAUCAAUAAGCCUGAAAGUCUGCACAUCGUUUAAAAGCUUUAGUUCAUGCCAUUCAAAUGCUCCUCAGAAGUCUUGAGGAGAAUGCUGCCAGCUAUGUCCUUGUGCUUUUUCGCAGGCAGAGCUCCUUUUUAAUCCUCUGUUUAAAUGAAAUCCUUUAAGUAAUAUUUUCUAGGUAACAUGUAAUAUUUCAUAAAUAUAUAAGUUGGAUUUAUAGUACAUUUCUUUGGGUGGUGCUAUUAUAAAUGCUACUUUAAAAAAAAAAUCAAGGGGUGAGGAAAUGGCUCAGUUGGUAACAAGCCUGCUGGGCAAGGCUCUCUAGCAUACACGCACAAGUUGGACACGGCUAUGCAUGCAUGCAACCCUAGCAGUCUGUGGGCAGAGCAGAUUCUGAGAUUACACCAGCUAGCAAGCCAGGACCAAUCAAUGAGCUUCAGUCUGGUGAGACUGUCUCUCACAACCUCAAGUGGAGAGCAAUCAAGAAAGAUACCCAACAUCAAACUCUGGCUGUUACACACAUCUGCAACAUGUGCAUCAGAGUGCUUUUGUACACACACUUACAUGAACAACCCCCAUACUCAUUUUUUGCAUACAGAGAUAUGAUUCAACUUGCACUUUGGCCUUGCAUCCUGUGAGCCUGCUAAAUUCACUUCUUGGUCCUAAGGAAAAUCUAGGAUUUUCCAGGGGGAAGGGUAUCUCUAUCACUUAUAAAUAGUUUUAUUCCUUUUACAGUACCAAAAACAUAAAGUUUUUUUAUUCAUUAGAAGAUUGAGGAGAAAGCUGUUAGCACUUAUUCAAAUAAUGUCCCUAAUAUAUCUAAUAAGUAAAUAAAGUGAACUUACAAUUGAGACGC